rnacentral:rRNA from 1 species
UACGUAGGCAGCGAGCGUUGUUCGGAAUUACUGGGCGUAAAGAGUGUGUAGGCGGUGCUCUAAGUUCGGUGUGAAAUCUCCUGGCUUAACUGGGAGGGUGCGCCGAAAACUGGAGUGCUCGAGCGUGGGAGAGGAAAGCGGAAUUCCUGGUGUAGCGGUGAAAUGCGUAGAUAUCAGGAGGAAUACCUGCGGUGUAGACGGCUUUCUGGACCAUUGCUGACGCUGAGACACGAAAGCGUGGGUAGCAAACAGG